rfam:Clostridium sp. DMHC 10 contig_16, whole genome shotgun sequence.
AAUGGUGGGAACAAAGAGAUGCAAGACCGCAAGGUGGAGCCAAACUCAAAAACCCAUCCCAGUUCGGAUUGUAGCUGAAACUCGCCUACAUGAAG